rnacentral:rRNA from 1 species
UUCCGGUUGAUCCCGCCGGACCCCACUUGCUAUCGGGAUGAGACUAAGACAUGCUAGUCGUGCACCUCCAGGCCACGGUGGAGGCGCGGCGCACAGCUCAGUAACACGUGGCUAACCUACCCUUGGGACGGAAAUAACCCCGGGAAACUGGGGCUAAUUUCCGAUAGGUGAAGAUUCCUGGAAUGGAUCUUCGCCGAAAAGGCGUCUARACCAUGCUUCUAGGCGCUGCCCAAGGAUGGGGCCGCGGCCGAUCAGGUUGUUGGUGAGGUAACGGCUCACCAAGCCUAUAACCGGUACGGGCCGUGGGAGCGGUAGCCCGGAGAUGGGCACUGAGACAAGGGCCCAGGCCCUACGGGGCGCAGCAGUCGCGAAACCUCCGCAAUACGCGAAAGCGUGACGGGGUCAUCCCGAGUGCCGUCCGCUGAGGAUGGCUUUUCCCCAGUGUAGACAGCUGGGGGAAUAARGAGAGGGCAAGUCGGGUGUCAGCCGCCGCGGUAAUACCCGCUCUCCGAGUGGUGGGGACGCUUAUUGGGCCUAAAGCAUCCGUAGCCGGCUGGACAAGUCCCCUGUUAAAUCCAGCGAUUUAAUCGUUGGACUGCGGGGGAUACUGUCCGGCUAGGGGGCGGGAGAGGCCGACGGUAUUUCCGGGGUAGGGGUGAAAUCCUAUAAUCCCGGGAGGACCACCAGUGGCGAAGGCCGUCGGCUAGAACGCGCCCGACRGUGA